GAGUUUGAUCUUGGCUCAGAUUGAACGCUGGCGGCAUGCCUUACACAUGCAAGUCGAACGGUAACAGGUCUUCGGAUGCUGACGAGUGGCGAACGGGUGAGUAAUACAUCGGAACGUGCCCGAUCGUGGGGGGAUAACGAAGCGAAAGCUUUGCUAAUACCGCAUAAGAUCUACGGAUGAAAGCAGGGGACCGCAAGGCCUUGCGCGAACGGAGCGGCCGAUGGCAGAUUAGGUAGUUGGUGGGAUAAAAGCUUACCAAGCCGACGAUCUGUAGCUGGUCUGAGAGGACGACCAGCCACACUGGGACUGAGACACGGCCCAGACUCCUACGGGAGGCAGCAGUGGGGAAUUUUGGACAAUGGGCGAAAGCCUGAUCCAGCCAUGCCGCGUGCAGGAUGAA
rnacentral:rRNA from 1 species